GAGUUUGAUCGUGGCUCAGAUUGAACGCUGGCGGCAUGCCUUACACAUGCAAGUCGAACGGCAGCGCGGAAUGGGGUAACCCGGCCUGGCGGCGAGUGGCGAACGGGUGAGUAAUAUAUCGGAACGUACCCUGGAGUGGGGGAUAACGUAGCGAAAGUUACGCUAAUACCGCAUACGAUCUAAGGAUGAAAGCAGGGGACCGCAAGGCCUUGUGCUCCUGGAGCGGCCGAUAUCUGAUUAGCUAGUUGGUAGGGUAAAAGCCUACCAAGGCAUCGAUCAGUAGCUGGUCUGAGAGGACGACCAGCCACACUGGAACUGAGACACGGUCCAGACUCCUACGGGAGGCAGCAGUGGGGAAUUUUGGACAAUGGGCGCAAGCCUGAUCCAGCAAUGCCGCGUGAGUGAAGAAGGCCU
rnacentral:rRNA from 1 species